rnacentral:rRNA from 1 species
GUCUAUGGCCAUGCCACGUUGAACAAGCCCGAUCCCUUCUGAUCUCAGAAGUUAAGCAGGGUUGGGCCUAGUUAGUACUUGCAUGGGAGACCACCUAGGAAGACCAGGUGCUGUAGGUA